rnacentral:rRNA from 1 species
AAGAUUAAGCCAUGCAUGUCUCAGUACUUGCUUUUACAAGGCGAAACCGCGAAUGGCUCAUUAAAUCAGUUAUGGUUCACUAGAUCGUACAGUUUACAUGGAUAACUGUGGUAAUUCUAGAGCUAAUACAUGCAUUCAGCUCGCUCUCUCGGGAGCGAGCGCAGUUAUUAGAAUAAAACCAAUCCGGCCUUCGGGUCGGUACAAUUGGUGACUCUGAAUAACCGAAGCGGAGCGCAUGGUCUCGUACCGGCGCCAGAUCUUUCAAGUGUCUGACUUAUCAGCUCGUAGGUAGGUUAUGUGCCUACCUUGGCUUCGACGGGUAACGGGGUGUCAGGGCCCGACACCGGAGAGGGAGCCUGAGAAACGGCUACC